rnacentral:rRNA from 1 species
UACGAAGGGGGCUAGCGUUGUUCGGAAUCACUGGGCGUAAAGGGCGCGUAGGCGGCUUUGUAAGUCGGGGGUGAAAGCCUGUGGCUCAACCACAGAAUUGCCUUCGAUACUGCAUGGCUUGAGACCGGAAGAGGUAAGUGGAACUGCGAGUGUAGAGGUGAAAUUCGUAGAUAUUCGCAAGAACGCCAGUGGCGAAGGCGGCUCACUGGCCCGGUACUGACGCUGAGGUGCGAAAGCGUGGGGAGCAAACAGG